rnacentral:rRNA from 1 species
GACGAACGCUGGCGGCGUGCCUAAUACAUGCAAGUCGAGCGCAGGAAACUGACGGAACUCUUCGGAGGGAAGGCAGUGGAAUGAGCGGCGGACGGGUGAGUAACACGUAAGGAACCUGCCUCAAGGAUUGGGAUAACUCCGAGAAAUCGGAGCUAAUACCGGAUAGUUCAUCGGACCGCAUGGUCCGCUGAUGAAAGGCGCUCCGGCGUCACCUUGAGAUGGCCUUGCGGUGCAUUAGCUAGUUGGUGGGGUAACGGCCCACCAAGGCGACGAUGCAUAGCCGACCCGAGAGGGUGAUAGGCCACACUGGGACUGAGACACGGCCCAGACUCCUACGGGAGGCAGCAGUAGGGAAUCUUCCACAAUGGACGAAAGUCUGAGGGAGCAACGCCGCGUGAGUGAUGAAGGUUUUCGGAUCGUAAAACUCUGUUGUAAGGGAAGAACACGUACGAGAGGGAAUGCUCGUACCUUGACGGUACCUUACGAGAAAGCCACGGCUAACUAUGUGCCAGCCGCCGCAGUAA